UAACCUCAGAUCAGGCAAGAUUACCCGCUGAAUUUAAGCAUAUUACUAAGCGGAGGAAAAGAAACUAACAAGGAUUCCCCCAGUAAUGGCGAAUGAAGAGGGAACAGCUCAACUUGAGAAUCUCCGUUGUGUUGCAACGGCGAAUUGUAGUUUCGAGAAGUACUUUCCCGGCGCAUCGAGUUUGCCUAAGUUGCUUGGAACAGCACGUCACAGAGGGUGACAACCCCGUACGUGGCAAUGCUCGAGCGCUCGCGAUGUGCUUUCGAAGAGUCGGGUUGUUUGGGAACGCAGCCCAAAACGGGUGGUAAACUCCAUCUAAAGCUAAAUACAGGCACGAGACCGAUAGCGAACAAGUACCGUGAGGGAAAGAUGAAAAGGACUUUGAAAAGAGAGUUAAAAGUACGUGAAACCGUUGAAAGGGAAGCGAAUGGAGUUAGCAAUUCGCCCCGCCAGAUUCAGUUGCUCGCACGUCGCGACGUACGCGCUCUCGAUCCGCAUGGACGAGACGUGUGCGGGUGCGACGUGCGGUCUGCGCACUUCUGGCGAGCGAGCGUCAGCGUCGGUUGUCGACGGGCGACAAGGACGCGGGAAGGUGGACUGGCCCUCGUGGCCGGUUGUUAUAGCCCCGUGCUCGCAUAGCUCGACGGCGACCGUGGCUCGGCGACGCGUGCCUGGCUGGUGACUCGAACGAUCGGUCCGGCAUGUCGACCGUGGCGGAUGGCACGCCUGUGCGCUCAAACCGCUGCCGGCCGAUCGGACGAUGUUCACA
rnacentral:rRNA from 1 species